CCCAAGAGUCCUCGAUCAGGAUCUUUCUAUACAUAUUCUAUUGUCCAUAUUCUGUUCAGUGACAUAUUCAGAACAUAUCUGAUGUUCAGUGACUCCUUCUGAUGUCAAAUCAGCAAUAUAGUAGUCCAUAUUUGACCUACUGAACAUAUUUCUUGCCCAAGAGUCCUGGAUCAUGAACUUUCUAUAUAUACUUAUUGACAUCUAAUGAUGUUAAAUCAGCAAUAUAGUAGUCCAUAUUUGACCUACUGAACAUAUUUCUGGGCAAAGAGUCCAACGGUCUUGAAAAUUCUAUACAUACUAAUUGACUCCUGAUAUUACAUAAGCCUGACAGUAGUCCAUAUUUGACAAACUGAACAUAUUUCUGGCCAAAGAGUCCUCAAUCAUGAACUUUCUAUAUAUAUUCGUUGACUUCUACUGAUGUUAGAUCAGCAACAGAGUAGUCUAUAUUUGAACAUCUGAACAUAUUACUGGCCAAAAAGCUUCCUGCUGUCUUAAGAGGCUAUGUACUAGAAUCAACGCAGACGGGAAAUCUUUAACCAAACUGUAUGCAAAUGUGAAAUAAUAGGAUGUUUUUUCACCUCGUUAUCCAGUUUAAUGGACAGACUCUGCAAUAAUGAGAUCGAAGGCAAGACAAAUUGUUCAAGUGUCCUCAAUUCUGAACUUUCUAAGCAUAAUCAUACUCAUUUGACUCCUGAUGUUAUAUAAGCAAUUUAGUAGUCCAUAUUUACUUACUGAACAUAUUUCUAGCCCAAGAGUCCUCGAUUAUGAACUUUCUAUAUAUACUUAUUGACUUCUACUGAUGUUAAAUCAGCAAUAGAGUACUCCAUGUUUGACCAGCUGAACAGAUUUCUGGCCAAAGCAUCCUUGAACAUUAACUUAUUAUUUAUAAUCCUUCUAAUGUUAAAUCAAACAGACAGUAGUCCAUAUUUGACCAAGAUUCUGCGACUGUUUUUUUUUUUUUUUUUUCAUCAUUAGUUGCAUUCAUUAUUAAUUGAGCAAGUUCUGAAUGGAUAAAUUAUAUUUUUGCCGUUUAAGCAAGCAUUAAAAUCGUGUCCUGUGCUCCGUCUACCAGAACAGCUGAAGACUCUGUAAUCAUUGAAAAUUUAGACUCUCUCAUUCAAGAUGUCAGAGACCUCUUGGGAAGCGGUGCUGAACAACCUUGUCCCUCAGACUGGAGGAACAGGCAAACUACCUAUUUGGAGAGUUGGACAGUUAUGAGGCCCUUCAUGCUGAACAAUAUGCUAUCUUCUGAGAAGCCCAAGGAGGGGGUUUGCCAAAUGGUGGUCUGCAAAUAUUGGCCAUAUCUGCAGAAAGUUGUGGACCACUGUCCAGAGUUGGAGGACUUGAUAAACAUGCGCCCAUUUCUCUCCAUCAUGCAUGCAAAAGCGCAUUCAUGGAUGUGUGAGUUAAAAUGGGGGGGGGGGGGGCGUAAUCAAGUAGGAGCUGGAACAACAAUCGGGGAGGAGGUUGAACAGGUUAACAGCUUCCUCUCUCGAGCAGCCAUAUGUUCCAAGUACAUGUCAAAAGCUGGUAAGCAUUUUUCAUGUAUAGUGGUGUCCAAAUUGAGACCAAGGGGUUUGAACACUGAUGCCCAGCCUUUAUAUUUUAGAGUUCCAUGCAUAGGUGCUCCCUUAGAAAACUUCUCUCUAGUCAGCACUUUUACACUGAUCAGGAUUCUCUUUAUAAUAAUUUAACUACUGACACGUUAAUCAAGUGUAUGAUUAUUUCCAGGUUUAUGUGACAAUAUUAGAGAAUGAUCAAUGUAGUAUCUGACCUGUGGUCCUCACUGUGUACCUAAAUUACUGCACAUACAUUGCGUGUUAAGUUCGCAC